rnacentral:rRNA from 1 species
AAGACUCUACUUGACUAGCUGAGAGGAGGUGCAUGGCCGUCGUCAGUUCGUACUGUGAAGCAUCCUGUUAAGUCAGGCAACGAGCGAGACCCACGCAACAGUUGCCAGCUCGUCCUCCGGGAUGGUGGGGACACUGUUGGGACCGCCUCUGCUAAAGAGGAGGAAGGAAUGGGCAACGGUAGGUCAGCAUGCCCCGAAUUAUCUGGGCUACACGCGGGCUACAAUGGGUGGGACAAUGGGUAUCGACACCGAAAGGUGAAGGCAAUCUCCUAAACCCAUCCGUAGUUCGGAUUGUGGGCUGCAACUCGCCCACAUGAAGCUGGAAUCUGUAGUAAUCGUGUCUCAAAAUGGCACGGUGAAUAUGUCCCUGCUCCUU